AGUGAACGCUGGCGGUAGGCCUAACACAUGCAAGUCGAACGGCAGCACAGUAAGAGCUUGCUCUUACGGGUGGCGAGUGGCGGACGGGUGAGGAAUACAUCGGAAUCUACUUUUUCGUGGGGGAUAACGUAGGGAAACUUACGCUAAUACCGCAUACGACCUACGGGUGAAAGCAGGGGAUCUUCGGACCUUGCGCGAUUGAAUGAGCCGAUGUCGGAUUAGCUAGUUGGCGGGGUAAAGGCCCACCAAGGCGACGAUCCGUAGCUGGUCUGAGAGGAUGAUCAGCCACACUGGAACUGAGACACGGUCCAGACUCCUACGGGAGGCAGCAGUGGGGAAUAGUGGACAAUGGGCGCAAGCCUGAUCCAGCUAUACCGCGUGGGUGAAGAAGGCCUUCGGGUUGUAAAGCCCUUUUGUUGGGAAAGAAAAGCAGCAGGUUAAUACCCCGCUGUUCUGACGGUACCCAAAGAAUAAGCACCGGCUAACUUCGUG
rnacentral:rRNA from 1 species